GUGAAUAAACAUGAUGGGUUGUAGCUGGCUCUAUUAUAGAGCAUGUGCACGCUCAUUGUCUUUAUCCAUCCACCUGUGCACAAUCUGUAGUCUUUUGGGGGUUAUUAAGAAAGCAUACACUUUGUAUGUCAGUAUUGGAUCCUCCAGAGUCUAUGUAUUCAUUAUAGACCACGUAACAAGUUGCAGAAUGUAUUUAAUGGGUCUCUAGUACCUAUAAAAACUAUAUA
rnacentral:misc_RNA from 1 species